rnacentral:rRNA from 1 species
GGCGGCAUGCCUUACACAUGCAAGUCGAACGGUAACAGGGAGCUUGCUCCGCUGACGAGUGGCGAACGGGUGAGUAAUAUAUCGGAACGUACCUUUGAGUGGGGGAUAACUAGUCGAAAGACUAGCUAAUACCGCAUACGAUCUACGGAUGAAAGUGGGGGAUCGCAAGACCUCAUGCUCAUAGAGCGGCCGAUAUCUGAUUAGCUAGUUGGUGAGGUAAAGGCUCACCAAGGCAUCGAUCAGUAGCUGGUCUGAGAGGACGACCAGCCACACUGGGACUGAGACACGGCCCAGACUCCUACGGGAGGCAGCAGUGGGGAAUUUUGGACAAUGGGGGCAACCCUGAUCCAGCAAUGCCGCGUGAGUGAAGAAGGCCUUCGGGUUGUAAAGCUCUUUUGUCAGGGAAGAAACGGGAUGUCCUAAUACGAUGUCCUAAUGACGGUACCUGAAGAAUAAGCACCGGCUAACUACGUGCCA